rnacentral:rRNA from 1 species
UACGUAGGGCGCAAGCGUUGUCCGGAAUUAUUGGGCGUAAAGAGCUCGUAGGCGGCUCGUUGCGUCGGCUGUGAAAACCCGCAGCUCAACUGUGGGCCUGCAGCCGAUACGGGCGGGCUAGGAUUCGGUAGGGGAGACUGGAAUUCCUGGUGUAGCGGUGAAAUGCGCAGAUAUCAGGAGGAACACCGGUGGCGAAGGCGGGUCUCUGGGCCGAUAUCGACGCUGAGGAGCGAAAGCGUGGGGAGCGAACAGG